GAUGAAGAAGGUAGCGAAAUGCGAUAAGUAAUGUGAAUUGCAGAAUUCAGUGAAUCAUCGAAUCUUUGAACGCACAUUGCGCCCGCCAGUAUUCUGGCGGGCAUGCCUGUUCGAGCGUCAUUACAACCCUCAGGCCCCCGGGCCUGGCGUUGGGGAUCGGCGGAGCCCCCCGUGGGCACACGCCGUCCCCCAAAUACAGUGGCGGUCCCGCCGCAGCUUCCAUCGCGUAGUAGCUAACACCUCGCGACUGGAGAGCGGCGCGGCCACGCCGUAAAACACCCAACUCUUCUGAAGUUGACCUCGAAUCAGGUAGGAAUACCCGCUGAACUUAAGCAUAUCAAUAAGCGGAGGA
rnacentral:misc_RNA from 1 species